UACAGAGGUCCCAAGCGUUGUUCGGAUUCAUUGGGCGUAAAGGGUGCGUAGGCGGCGCGGUAAGUCGGGGUGUGAAAUUUCGGGAGCUUAACUCCGAAACUGCAUUCGAUACUGCGGUGCUUGAGGACUGGAGAGGAGACUGGAAUUUACGGUGUAGCAGUGAAAUGCGUAGAUAUCGUAAGGAAGACCAGUGGCGAAGGCGGGUCUCUGGACAGUUCCUGACACUGAGACACGAAGGCCAGGGGAGCAAACGGG
rnacentral:rRNA from 1 species